UCGCAUAGCUCAGUUGGUAGAACAUGAGACUUCUAAUCUCUGGGUUGUGGGUUCGAACCCCACAUUGGGCAAAA